rnacentral:lncRNA from 1 species
GGUGCUGCUGCCUGCCUCGCAGGCGCAAGGUCCUGAGUUCGAUCCCUGGUACCAAAAUAAAAAAUAAAAAGAAUACAAUCAUACAUACAUAUCCUAUUUCCAGCUCAUAAAUAUUGUUAUCUUUCUCACUUGGCCUGCCCAUGAUCUGUUGCUCCUUGCUCCUCAGAGAUGGACCUCUAGCGCUGGUGUCGUAACUAUACUUUUUCUUCAGCAGAUGGUGCACGUCUGAAACAGGGCCUUCAGAGCACUCUUCUCAUGACGCUGAGAAGGAACAUUUAUGAGGGAGUCAUUGUCUCAGUUCACAGGGCCUGAACUAUUGGUGUCAUCAAAUUCUGUGCAGCUUUCUGCUUUCUGGGGUCCCCAAGAAUCUGGUCCAACCUUACGGAAAAGGCAGUGCUGUCGUGCCAAGUCCUUACCGCCAAGAGCCUGCCCUUGGUGUGUUCACGGCUGAUGCAACUGUUGGAAAUCAG